rnacentral:rRNA from 1 species
AUUGAACGCUGGCGGCAUGCUUUACACAUGCAAGUCGAACGGUAACAGGGUGCUUGCACCGCUGACGAGUGGCGAACGGGUGAGUAAUGCGUCGGAACGUGCCGAGUAGUGGGGGAUAACGCAGCGAAAGUUGUGCUAAUACCGCAUACGUACUGAGGUAGAAAGUGGGGGACCUUCGGGCCUCACGCUAUUCGAGCGGCCGACGUCUGAUUAGCUAGUAGGUGAGGUAAAGGCUCACCUAGGCGACGAUCAGUAGCGGGUCUGAGAGGAUGAUCCGCCACACUGGGACGGAGACACGGCCCAGACUCCUACGGGAGGCAGGAGUGGGGAAUUUUGGACAAUGGGCGAAAGCCUGAUCCAGCCAUGCCGCGUGUCUGAAGAAGGCCUUCGGGUUGUAAAGGACUUUUGUCAGGGAGGAAAUCCCUAGUGCUAAUAACACUGGGGGAUGACAGUACCUGAAGAAUAAGCACCGGCUAACUACGUGCCAGCCGCCGCAGUAA